rnacentral:lncRNA from 1 species
CUUUUGAAUAUAGGUUUGAAUUAUUUUUUUAAUUGGUCAAAAUAACCAUAAAUCUUUAGUUCAAUCAACCAAUAAUUAAUAGGUUAAAAUUACAUAUUACAGAUUUAUAUGUUGAAGUAACCAUUGGCGAUGGUUUGCUUUAACCUAUUUAAUUACCUCGGGUCGGUACGACACCGAGGCCUUAAAUUCGGCUCCCAUUUUUUUUCUUCUUGUUUUUUUUUGUUUUUUUCCAUUUGUGUCGAGCCGCGCGCGUAGUCGAAGAUCGAAGGGCCUGCAGAGGAUACGACAACUUCCGGUAAAUAAGUGUACUUCCGGCAAGCAUCGGCCAAAGCGAAACGGAACCCGAAGCUGUCCUUGCACAAAAUCGUCAGAAUUGUUGAUUUAAAACCAGAAGAUGUGAUAAUUUUGACAUACAUGUUUAGCUGGACAACUAUUCUCGA